CAGCCGCCGCGGUAAUACCAGCCCCGCGAGUGGUCGGGACGGUUAUUGGGCCUAAAGCGCCCGUAGCCGGCCCGGCAAGUCCCUCCUUAAAGCCUCGGGCCCAACCCGAGGACGGGGGGGAUACUGCCGGGCUAGGGGGCGGGAGAGGCCGGCGGUACUCCCGGGGUAGGGGCGAAAUCCGUUAAUCCCGGGAGGACCACCAGUGGCGAAGGCGGCCGGCUGGAACGCGCCCGACGGUGAGGGGCGAAAGCCGGGGGAGCGAACCGGAUUAGAUACUCGGGUAGUCCCGGCUGUAAACGAUGCGGGCUAGCUGUUGGGCGGGCUUAGAGCCCGCCCAGUGGCGCAGGGAAGCCGUUAAGUCCGCCGCCUGGGGAGUACGGCCGCAAGGCUGAAACUUAAAGGAAUUGGCGGG
rnacentral:rRNA from 1 species